rnacentral:lncRNA from 1 species
GUCAUAUUUGGAAGUGAAAUUGCUUCUCCUCUGCUCAUUCUGUCCAGUUCGCUGCACCUCGAAAGGUUAUAUUCUUUUACCACGUUCUCUCCGCUUUUCAGUGUGUCAUGUUUGCUUUUCAAUUGCUUUAGAAUAACAUUCUGAUGAUGGUAGGUGUUCAAUUGUUUUUUAUGGUUGUUGGCAUCUUGUAAGAAUAGAGUAUAAAUUAUAUGUUUUUCUUUGGCUUGCUGCUAAGAGGUAGCCGUAACAUCAUUUUUAAGGACU